GUUAUUGAACUGAAAUGAAUCAAAAUUGAACUGCAGAGCUGAUUUACAGCUGAAAGUGAAUUAGUUUCAUAACUGAUGAGUUUUGCAAAAUUAACACUCUUGUUUUCCUGUUUAUUACUGUGAAGCUGCUUUGGAACAAUCUGGAUUGUAUAAAUAAAUGUAGGAAUGUUACUUUAGUUAUAAUAAUAAACAAUCCGUGCAUCCAUUUAGAAAAAUAAAAUAAUUCCAUGGCGGCCUGUAAGAGAGUUAAUUUCAGUUUAUUUUAUUUCAGUUAACAUUGCUAUAUUUCAAGUAAUUAAAAUGUUUCAUUAUAAUUGUUGUUGUUGUUAGUACUUUUAUUAUUAUUAUCAGACUGCAUUUUAGUUUAUCACUUUACAGAAUUUGUCAUCCAAAAGUAUAACAGUAUGUUACGGUUUAUCAGUUGUUUGUCAUGAGUCUAUUCAUCAGUGAUGUUAGUUAUUCAAUUUUGUUUAAUCUUGCUCUUCUCAUUUAAAAAAAAGAAAAAAAGAAAGCCAUUAUAUGUGUUUGAUAUGUCUACGUAGGACAUUGAAGGUGUAAUGUGAUUCCCCCUGAGGUCAAAUGUUCAGCGCUUGUCCUCCAGACGUCAGAGUCGUGCCUGCGGAGCGUGAAGGUGUCCGGCACACCGCUGACCUCCAGCCCGGCCCUCAUCACAGCCGCUAGAAGUCACCCUCGUCAAGCACCUCCAGGCCUUUCGCAGGACUCUGCAGUCAUCGCAGCCUGGGGACACUGGAGUGCAUCUGGUAACCCAGAGCAGCUCUUUGUUGUCAGCGUCUCUACUGGAAAAUCAAAGCCAGAGCGUUCCUGAUCAAAGCAGCCUGAGUGAUGACAUCACUCACGUCCAAUCCGAGCUGCAUCCUCACAGAACUUUGGUCUUCCGGAGGGAUUUGUGGGAUUGAUGCCGCAAUGAGCGCGAACAGCAAAUCAUCCCGGGACAGGUUUCAGAUGCAAACACUGCCAUAAUUGCCAUUUUUAUGAGAGCCGAAUCUCGUUUGGAUGUGAUUUUAUCUGAGACGGGGAGGUGAGGGACUCCUUGUAUUCAGAAUAUUUCCCUCUUAAUAUAUUGGCUGCUUUGUCACAGUCCGAUGUGUUUGGUAUCGAUUGGUGCUGAUUUCCUGGCGCAGCGGCUGCUUGUUUGAGAGCUGUCUGUCGGCACCUGUCUGCCAGCUGUCAGGUGAGAUGACAUGAAGCGAGCCCCUGACAGCUGCGGAUAAUGACGAGGAGCUCCGGCGAUUAGCAGACACUCCCGAGAAAAAACCUGACCUCUGCUCAGCCAAAGAUGUGUUUAGGCCUCUGUGAGCCGCUCUGCUUAAAGCUGAAGUGUGUCAUCUCUAUACGUCACCAAACAGAAACACAAAAAUAAUGCCAUUGGUCAGAGGACCAGAGAGUCCCGCCCUAAACUCAUGUGAUUGGUUGAGUCAGAAGAUGAUGGCUCAGAUCAGCAGUUUUUGGACACUUAAAUAUACAUUAUUUGCAGUCAAAUGAAAAUGUAUUUUAGCAAUUAACCAAACCAAACUUUAGAGCGUUUUUGACCCACUUACUGUAAAUAGGAUUAAAUACAUCCUUUAUGUAAUUUCAUAAUUACUUCUAUUGUCUUUGAAAUAUGGUUGCAGCUGAAUGUACUGAUAAGCAUUUAUGAUAAACUAAAAUAUACAUUAUUGUCAUCUCUAAUGAUACCUAUAUACUGUCUUUAAAUAUAUUUGUAAUGAAGUUGCAAUUCAGUACAUUUAAAAUUAACUUUAUGAACAUAAACGUAAUAUUGAAU
ensembl:lncRNA